rnacentral:rRNA from 1 species
UACGUAGGGUGCAAGCGUUGUCCGGAAUUAUUGGGCGUAAAGAGCUCGUAGGCGGUCUGUCGCGUCGGCUGUGAAAUCUCGGGGCUCAACCCCGAGCCUGCAGUCGAUACGGGCAGACUAGAGUGCGGCAGAGGAGACUGGAAUUCCUGGUGUAGCAGUGAAAUGCGUAGAUAUCAGGAGGAACACCGAUGGCGAAGGCAGGUCUCUGGGCUGACACUGACGCUCAUGCACGAAAGCCGUGGGGAGCGAAACAAGG